GAUGAAGAACGUAGCGAAAUGCGAUAAGUAGUGUGAAUUGCAGAAUUUAGUGAAUCAUCGAAUCUUUGAACGCACAUUGCGCCCUUUGGUAUUCCUUAGGGCAUGCCUGUUCGAGCGUCAUUUAACCCCUUCAAGCUCUGCUUGGUGUUGGGCGUUUGUCCCGCCUCGUGCGCGGACUCGCCUUAAAAUCAUUGGCGGCCUUUGGAUUCGGCUCGAGCGCAGCACAUCGCGUCUCGGCCCGGCCCGCUGGCGUCCAGCAAGCGCAACUUUAUUUUGACCUCGGAUCAGGUAGGGAUACCCGCUGAACUUAAGCAUAUCAAUAAGCGGAGGA
rnacentral:misc_RNA from 1 species